rnacentral:misc_RNA from 1 species
CCUCUUCCUCCUCCUCCUCCUCCCCACCGCUAUCCGAUUCCUCCGGCUUCGCAGACGGCCCUUUCUCCAUAGCAUCCAUCCGCUUAAAAUGAACCCAAGAAGACGUAAAUCGCGAAAGCGGCAUAGACCGAGCCCGUUGAAGCUCAGUACGGUACCGUUUCCUUAGUUUCUCCAUCUUAUGACGACACUGCACGGCGGUCUUCGGCGGCGAUGCGUUAGGACAUCGAUGAGAAACGGAAUCGGCAACAUCCUGCCAGUGAGUAGCCUUGAGAUUCCCCCGGCGAAGG